rnacentral:rRNA from 1 species
AUACGGAGGGGGCAAGCGUUGUUCGGAAUUACUGGGCGUAAAGGGCGCGCAGGCGGUUUUGUUAGUCAGGCGUGAAAUCCCCGGGCUUAACCUGGGAAUUGCGUUUGAUACUGCAAAACUAGAGUUCGGGAGAGGGUAGUGGAAUUCCCAGUGUAGAGGUGAAAUUCGUAGAUAUUGGGAAGAACACCAGUGGCGAAGGCGGCUACCUGGACCGAUACUGACGCUGAGGCGCGAAAGCGUGGGGAGCAAACAGGAUUAGAAACCCCAGUAGUCC